rnacentral:rRNA from 1 species
UACGAAGGGGGCAAACGUUGCUCGGAAUUAUUGGGCGUAAAGCGCACGUAGGCGGCUUAGCAAGUCGGAUGUGAAAUCCCUCGGCUCAACCAAGGAAGUGCAUCCGAAACUGCUGAGCUUGAGUACUUAAGAGGAUCGCGGAAUUCCCGGUGUAGAGGUGAAAUUCGUAGAUAUCGGGAGGAACACCAGUGGCGAAGGCGGGUCUCUGGACAGUUCCUGACACUGAGACACGAAGGCCAGGGGAGCAAACGGG